AAAACAAUUAUUAAUUAAAUUUUAUAUCACUGUUAAAGACUAUUAUCAUUCAAUAAAAUAUCAUAAAUAAAUAUUUAUUAUAAAAUACUAAAAAUAAAAAUAAAAGUUAUUUUUAUUUUAUUCGGGUCUUACAAGUACACUUGUCAGAGUCUUAACAAGUUUUCGACGUCGUUGUCGAGGACUCGUGGUUUAACUAUUCUAUUUAUGUGAUUAUUGAUUAAUUUUGA
rnacentral:lncRNA from 1 species